rnacentral:rRNA from 1 species
GACGAACCGAGCGAACGUUGUUCGGAAUAACUGGGCUUAAAGGGCGCGUAGGCGGGCCGCCAAGUUCGGGGUGAAAUCCUCCGGCUCAACCGGAGAACAGCCCCGAAUACUGGCGGCCUGGAGGGGGGGGUAGGGCACGCGGAACUGUGGGUGGAGCGGUGAAAUGCGUUGAUAUCCACAGGAACUCCGGUGGCGAAGGCGGCGUGCUGGACCCACCUGACGCUGAGGCGCGAAAGCCAGGGAGCAAACGGG